AUGUCCUUCAUUUCAGGGGCUUUUAAUGGUUCUGUUGCUCAUCAGAGAGCACUUCAUUCCAAAAUGCAACUUCUUGUAUUAUGUUUUAAUAUUGCUUUUGUACAUUAUGCUCUUUGCCAAACCUCAGUGAAGGUCAGCCAGUCACCUUCCCAUAUAAUAGUGAAGCAGAAUCAGUCUCUGAAAAUCGACUGCAACCAAAGUGCUGCUUACAGCUACAUGGAGUGGUAUCGGCAGCAGGGCUCAAGUGAACUUCAGCUGGUUUUACGAUCUCUAUAUAUGAGCAACCCAGAAUAUGGCGACAAAAUACCCAAAAGAUUCAAUGCUACAAGAUCAAAACUAGAAAGCAUAACACUCACAAUUGAUAAGGCACAGACUUCUGACACAGGACUGUAUUUCUGUGCAGCUAGUGACACAGUGCACUAA